rnacentral:misc_RNA from 1 species
GAUGGUUUUUAUUAUCACAAAUGAAAGGGCUAUAAACAGCCUAGAGCUGAAGACUCAAUCUUCUACAAUAACUAGAAACAGAGAAUAUAGGAAGCACGACUAACUGAAGCGAAAUGCUAGGACUACUUGUUGACUCCUUAUACAUCGGAGAUUAUGCAAAUUAAAACUCGGAAACAAACUAAGAACAAUUCAAACCCAACAAUAUAAUUCCAAUAAAAAAACAGAGUAUGUAGAGCUAAUUCUUGAGGGAAUAUGCCUCUUGAUAUUUCUUUAAGUUCUCAAUACCGACCAAACUUUAUCUGCAUGCCCAAUCAACUUCCAUGUGCUUCAAAUUUCCUAUACGUAUAUAUGCCAAUAACAGGAGUAAGCAAACUUAUGAACACUUGCCUCUUCUGUAAUUCGACAACCACUCUGAAAUUGAGGUGUUGAUGAGCUAAGAAGCCUAGAAGUACAUCAACAACAUUGAACUAAUCAGUUUUAGUCUAUAAAAUAGAUAAAUUCUAUGUUGAUAUUCAAACUAAUCAGUUUUUAGGCUUAAAAUGGAUAAUUUCCAAAGUCAAAAUCCUAACUAACCUCGGUGUCAGACUGAACAAUAAGGGUAUGUAGUUGGUGGAAUUUGGCCUUAUUUUAGAUUUACAUAGAGAAUUCUAACUAUUCGAACUCUGCCACUGGAGCUAUAAUCAUGGCAUUGUUCAUUAACCUCAUAGCCAACAUACAAUGAUACAAGUAGAAUUCUGUAUUGCCAAAUUUCCGAAAACUCAAACAGUUCUUGAGCACAUUUCAUAAAACAACGGACCUUUCAUUGCAUAGACUUAUCGUACGGACCUCAAACCACCACAGCAGAGCUAAAUCAUUUCCACAGUGAAAAAACACAUUGACAAGUGAAGGAACAAGAAGAGAUUUCACCAAAAAGUUGAGAAUAAACUGGAUCAUCUAAAGAUUUUGAUAGUUUCAAAUAGAAACUUCACACUAAAAUGAGAUUGUGACUUGCGAGCCUAAUCAUGAACUAAUCUUACCUAACACACAACAAUAGAAAUAAAAAGUAUAAAGUCCUAGGGUUUAGAACAGAGAAACAGAGUUGCUAGCAAUAACUAGAUUUGUGAAUUAAGAACUUAUCUUCAAGGACGAAAUUUGAGCUCCGAAACAAAACUAGAGAUAGCUUUAUUACUCAGUUAGGACAAUUUAAGAGUUUUUUUUUUCUCUCUUUCAAAUCGAAUAGAGUUUAGUAAUAGGACAAUAGGAGAAGAUUUUGACGCAAACCCAAAUCGGA